ACGCUCGACACCUACGGGAGGCAGCAGGUGGGGAAUAUUGCACAAUGGGGGAAACCCUGAUGCAGCGACGCCGCGUGAGCGAAGAAGUAUUUCGGUAUGUAAAGCUCUAUCAGCAGGGAAGAAACUGACGGUACCUGACUAAGAAGCACCGGCUAAAUACGUGCCGGCAGCCGCGGUAAUCUGAGCGGGCUGGCAAGGC
rnacentral:rRNA from 1 species